UGCCUUGUUGAUGUAGUAAAUGUGGGCACAUCCCGUAUUGUGUCUGAACUAAGCAACGAGGCUACAGAAAACACAGGUUAUGCUUCCAUCCUUGUAAGGCCAAUUACAUUGGUGACAAUGAGAUCUGUAAUAAGC